AUGCGCUCUCUCCCAGGCCCCCAAAGCCAGAGCGGAGCGAAGAUGGGACGCCAAAUAAAUCUGCCAGUGAUUACGCUAAAGGAAAUUAUGAUCUUGUUAUAGAAACCAUUAAAGGAAAACCAGAGUUGAACUAGAAGGAAUAAGUGGAAAUCAGGAGAAAUAUUAAAGACAUUCCAGUGUCACUGAGCAUGCCGAAACCUGAAAACAUGGUCGAGGAACACCAUGAGCAACUAGCCAAUGCCAUAGGUCUGCAUGAAGUCUAGUUCUGUCACCCAGGUUGGAGUGCAGUGGUGUGAUUUUGGCUCAUUGUAACUUCCGCCUCCUGGAUUCAAGCAAUUCUCCUGCCUCAGCCUCCCAAGCAGUUGGGAUUACAGGUGUCUGACACCCUGCCCAGUUGUCCCCUUGGAACCUGUAAACACUUUGGCAUAAAGAUCUGACAGAUUCAGCUUCUCCAUAAAUGAAUUUCUUUUCGGCUUAUCUCUGGUUCCAUUAUCUUGCUUUGGAUUUAUGGAAAUUCUGAACAGUGAUGUGAGAGUGACUACA
rnacentral:lncRNA from 10 species